GAUGAACGCUAGCGGCAGGCUUAAUACAUGCAAGUCGAGGGGCAGCAUGUUCCGUAGCAAUACGGGAUGAUGGCGACCGGCAAACGGGUGCGGAACACGUACGCAACCUACCCAAAACUGAUGAAUAGCCCUCCGAAAGGAGGAUUAAUACAUCGUAACUUAAUGAAGUGGCAUCACUUUAUUAAUAUAGCUCCGGCGGUUUUGGAUGGGCGUGCGCCUGAUUAGGUAGNGGCGGGGUAACGGCCCACCAAGCCUGCGAUCAGUAACUGGUGUGAGAGCACGACCAGUCACACGGGCACUGAGACACGGGCCCGACUCCGUACGGGAGGCAGCAGUAAGGAUAUUGGUCAAUGGACGC
rnacentral:rRNA from 1 species